ACGAACGCUGGCGGCAUGCCUAACACAUGCAAGUCGAACGAGACCUUCGGGUCUAGUGGCGCACGGGUGCGUAACGCGUGGGAACCUGCCUUUAGGUUCGGAAUAACUCCCCGAAAGGGGUGCUAAUACCGAAUAAUGUCUUCGGACCAAAGAUUUAUCGCCUUUAGAUGGGCCCGCGUUGGAUUAGCUAGUUGGUGGGGUAAAGGCCUACCAAGGCGACGAUCCAUAGCUGGUCUUAGAGGAUGAUCAGCCACACUGGGACUGAGACACGGCCCAGACUCCUACGGGAGGCAGCAGUGGGGAAUAUUGGACAAUGGGCGCAAGCCUGAUCCAGCCAUGCCGCGUGGAUGAUGAAGGCCUUAGGGUUGUAAAGUCCUUUUAACGGGGAAGAUAAUGACGGUACCCGUAGAAUAAGCCCCGGCUAACUUCGU
rnacentral:rRNA from 1 species